GACGAACGCUGGCGGCGUGCUUAACACAUGCUAGUCGAACGGAAAGGCCCUGCUUUUGUGGGGUGCUCGAGUGGCGAACGGGUGAGUAACACGUGAGUAACCUGCCCUUGACUUUGGGAUAACUUCAGGAAACUGGGGCUAAUACCGGAUAGGAGCUCCUGCUGCAUGGUGGGGGUUGGAAAGUUUCGGCGGUUGGGGAUGGACUCGCGGCUUAUCAGCUUGUUGGUGGGGUAGUGGCUUACCAAGGCUUUGACGGGUAGCCGGCCUGAGAGGGUGACCGGCCACAUUGGGACUGAGAUACGGCCCAGACUCCUACGGGAGGCAGCAGUGGGGAAUAUUGCACAAUGGGCGGAAGCCUGAUGCAGCAACGCCUCGUGCGGGAUGACGGCCUUCGGGUUGUAAACCGCUUUCGCCUGUGACGAAGCGUGAGUGACGGUAAUGGGUAAAGAAGCACCGGCUAACUACGUGCCAGCAGCCGCGGUGAUACGUAGGGUGCGAGCGUUGUCCGGAUUUAUUGGGCGUAAAGGGCUCGUAGGUGGUUGAUCGCGUCGGAAGUGUAAUCUUGGGGCUUAACCCUGAGCGUGCUUUCGAUACGGGUCGACUUGAGGAAGGUAGGGGAGAAUGGAAUUCCUGGUGGAGCGGUGGAAUGCGCAGAUAUCAGGAGGAACACCAGUGGCGAAGGCGGUUCUCUGGGCCUUUCCUGACGCUGAGGAGCGAAAGCGUGGGGAGCGAACAGGCUUAGAUACCCUGGUAGUCCACGCUGUAAACGGUGGGUACUAGGUGUGGGGUCCAUUCCACGGGUUCCGUGCCGUAGCUAACGCUUUAAGUACCCCGCCUGGGGAGUACGGCCGCAAGGCUAAAACUCAAAGGAAUUGACGGGGCCCCGCACAAGCGGCGGAGCAUGCGGAUUAAUUCGAUGCAACGCGUAGAACCUUACCUGGGUUUGACAUGGAUCGGGAGUGCUCAGAGAUGGGUGUGCCUCUUUUGGGGUCGGUUCACAGGUGGUGCAUGGCUGUCGUCAGCUCGUGUCGUGAGAUGUUGGGUUAAGUCCCGCAACGAGCGCAACCCUUGUUCACUGUUGCCAGCACGUUAUGGUGGGGACUCAGUGGAGACCGCCGGGGUCAACUCGGAGGAAGGUGGGGAUGACGUCAAGUCAUCAUGCCCCUUAUGUCCAGGGCUUCACGCAUGCUACAAUGGCUGGUACAGAGAGUGGCGAGCCUGUGAGGGUGAGCGAAUCUCGGAAAGCCGGUCUCAGUUCGGAUUGGGGUCUGCAACUCGACCUCAUGAAGUCGGAGUCGCUAGUAAUCGCAGAUCAGCAACGCUGCGGUGAAUACGUUCCCGGGGCU
rnacentral:rRNA from 1 species